UAGAAGACAAAUAUACAGAGGAGAAGCACUCAAGUUUUAUUUUAUUUUCAUUUAUUUGCUAUUGUAUUAAAAAGGACUUCCAACAUCUGCUCUCUGCAAAGCAUUGAGAGAGGCCCUGAUGGACAUUGAUGAAGAAAAUGGACUUAGUUCUGGUCUUCAUGGAGCUUCAAGUUGAGGAGUCAGACAACAAACCAUUAGCAAACAAGGAAAUGUAACUAACAUACAUAUAUAAGGUCAUAAAUGCUGUAAAGGAGUGAAAAGCUCACAGAGCAUAAAAGCAAAAUCACAUCCUUACAGUGAUACAUUAAAUUUGGACAAGGAUAGUUUUCACAUUUUUUGUCUUGCAUAACAGAUUCCUGAGAUCUGAAGCAAGUUUUCAUGUGUAAUAAGCCACCCUAACUCGAGGAUUUGGAAAGGCAGAUUAUUUUACUCAAGAGCAAGUUUACCUGCGUGGUAAUGAACUGAAUACUGUUUAUUUUGAUGGAUCAAACCUGUUUAGAUAAAGGUGUCUCCAUUGGAGUUAUGUGCAAGAUAGAACUGCUCAGCAUUUGCCUUUCACCCAAAGGACUCAAAAGAUACUUGGAAACAAAAGAUUCCUUCGGGAAUCAUCCAUAAGCAUAAAAUGGAAAAUUUCCUUUCCCCCAGUAUGUCUCCAUCCAGCUUCCUUAUCCUGGAGUCAUGGUUAUUAGCUACAUCAGAUCCGGAACCUGAGUAGCAGGAGCUGGGAGAGAUUUACCUUCUAUCUGAUGGUACCAGGUUUGGGUGUAAUUGUU